CACGCUGAACUUAAGCAUAGCAAUAAGCGGAGGAAAAGAAACCAACAGGGAUUGCCUCAGUAACGGCGAGUGAAGCGGCAAGAGCUCAAAUUUGAAAGCUGGGCCUUUCAGGUCCCGCAUUGUUAUUUGCAGAGGAUGCUUCGAGAGUGGUCUCCAUCUAAGUGCUCUGGGACGGGGCAUCAUAGAGGGUGAGAAUCCUGUAUGCGAUGGGGUGUCCACGACCGUGUGAAGCUCCUUCGACGAGUCGAGUAGUUUGGGAAUACAGCUCUAAAUGGGUGGUAAAUCACAUCUAAAGCUAAAUAUUGACCGGAGACCGAUAGCGAACAAGUAGAGUGAUCGAAAGAUGAAAAGCACUUUGAAAAGAGAGUUAAAAAGCACGUGAAAUUGUUGAAAGUGAAGCUCUAGCUAUCAGACUCGCCUCUAGGACUCAUCGUCCACUCGUGCAAGUGUACUUCCCUUGGGGCGCGCCAGCGUCGGUCUGGGCGGCCGGCAAAACGCUCUCGGAAUGUAACGCCUCUCGGGGCGUCUUAUAUCCGGCGGUGCCAUGCGGCCAGCUCAGACCGAUGAACGCGCUUCGGCUCGGACGCUGGCAUAAUGGGCGUAAACGACCCGUCUUGACACACGG
rnacentral:rRNA from 1 species